UAGGGAAUCUUCGGCAAUGGACGAAAGUCUGACCGAGCAACGCCGCGUGAGUGAAGAAGGUUUUCGGAUCGUAAAACUCUGUUGUUAGAGAAGAACAAGGGUGAGAGUAACUGUUCAUACGUUGACGGUAUUUAACCAGAAAGUCACGGCUAACUACGCGCCAG
rnacentral:rRNA from 1 species